rnacentral:rRNA from 1 species
UUUCCUACGGGGGGCAGCAGUGAGGAAUCUUGCGCAAUGGGGGAAACCCUGACGCAGCAACGCCGCGUGAGUGAGGAAGGUCUUCGGAUCGUAAAGCUCUGUCGGGUGGAAAGAAAUGUAUAGGGUUAAUAGCUUCUAUACUUGACGGUACCACCAAAGGAAGCACCGGCUAACUCCGUGCCAGCAGCCGCGGUAAUACGGGGGGUGCAAGCGUUGUUCGGAAUUAUUGGGCGUAAAGAGCGUGUAGGCGGCUUGGUAAGUCAGAUGGGAAAGCCCUGGGCUUAACCCAGGAAGUGCAUUUGAAACUGCCUAGCUUGAGUAAGGGAGAGGGAAGUGGAAUUCCUGGUGUAGAGGUGAAAUUCGUAGAUAUCAGGAGGAACACCGGUGGCGAAGGCGACUUCCUGGCCCUAUACUGACGCUGAGACGCGAGAGCGUGGGUAGCAAACAGGAUUAGAUACCCCGGUAGUCAA